rnacentral:rRNA from 1 species
UACGGGGGGAGCAAGCGUUGUUCGGAAUCACUGGGCGUAAAGGGCGUGCAGGCGGUCAGGUAAGUGAGAUGUGAAAUGCCCCGGCUCACCCGGGGACCGGCAUCUCAUACUGCUUGGCUUGAGUACGGGAGAGGAUGUGGGAAUUCCUGGUGUAGCGGUGAAAUGCGUAGAUAUCAGGAGGAACACCGGUGGCGAAGGCGCACAUCUGGCCCGAUACUGACGCUGAGGCGCGAAAGCUAGGGGAGCAAACGGG